UUCGGAUAUGCCAGGGCUAGCCCUAGUUUUUAAUAAUGUCAUCAAUAUUAAUAAAUUCAGUCAGGAACAGGUCGAACCUAGCUAAGGGCCUGUUCAUAUGGGGAAAAGUUAUCCCGGUUAACGAGAAAACUUUCCGACUAGCCAAGUACUUUUGUUCUGUUCAUAUGGAGAAACUUUAUCCCGCUUGCCGGGUAAAGUUUUCGGCUGUGACGUAGCACUAAACAUCAAUUGAAUUGAAAAGUUGCUGACACGACAAAAA